GACGAACGCUGGCGGCGUGCUUAACACAUGCAAGUCGAACGGUGAAGGGACCGGUUUUUGCUGGUUCUGGAUGAGUGGCGAACGGGUGAGUAACACGUGAGUAACCUGCCCCCUUCUUCUGGAUAACCGCAUGAAAGUGUGGCUAAUACGGGAUAUUCUGCGCCUGCUGCAUGGUGGGUGUGGGAAAGAUAUUGUUUCGGUGGGGGAUGGGCUCGCGGCCUAUCAGCUUGUUGGUGGGGUGAUGGCCUACCACGGCGGUGACGGGUAGCCGGCCUGAGAGGGUGGACGGUCACACUGGGACUGAGACACGGCCCAGACUGCUACGGGAGGCAGCAGUGGGGAAUAUUGCACAAUGGGCGCAAGCCUGAUGCAGCGACGCCGCGUGAGGGAUGGAGGCCUUCGGGUUGUAAACCUCUUUCGCCAGUGAAGCAGGCCUGUCCCUUUUGUGGGUGGGUUGACGGUAGCUGGAUAAGAAGCGCCGGCUAACUACGUG
rnacentral:rRNA from 1 species